ensembl:lncRNA
CUUUUAGGUAAUUUUUUCCCUAUCUUCAUUGUGAUUUCUCAUUUGACACGUGAGUUGUUUAGGGGUGUGUGUGUGUGUGUGUGUGAGGAAGAAAGGCCCUGAGCUCACAUCUCUGCCCGUCUUCCUCUAUUUUGUAUGUGGGAUGCCACCACUGCGGAACUUGGUGAGUGGCAGUAGGUCCGCACCUGGGAUUCAAACCUGCGAACCCUGGGCCACCAGAGCAGAGCACACGAAUUUAACCUCUGUGCCACUGGGCCAGCCCCCAGAUUGCUUGAUUUUCCUUCCUUGAAAAGGGGGAGCCUAAUUGCUCUGCACGCCCCUUGAGAAAGGACUGGACUUAGUCUUGGCUUCUAAUGAAUAAACAAGACAGAAGGGAUGCUGUGACUCUCAGCGACUCCUGAGACUAGGUCCUGAAAGGCACGUGGCUUUCUCGUGGCUUUCCUCUUCAAUCAUGUACCCUAGGGAAGCAGCCACAUGCUUGAGGACACGCAAGCAGCCCUGUGGAGACCAGAAGCCAAGACACUCUGCCACAGCCAAAGAAUGUGCCAUCUUGCAAGUGGGUCCGCCAGCCCCAGUCAGCCUUCGGAGGACACCGUGACCCCAGCAGAUGGGACUCCAAGCCAGAAGCACCUGCUGCAGCUGCUCCUGAAUUCCUAACCCACAGAAACAGCAAGAAAAGAAUUAUUGCCUUAAGCCACUAAGUUUAAUUUGUUCUGCAACAAUAGAUAACUAACUCAUCCUCAUUCAGGAUUCCUUCUUGAAUUUCACCUUCUUUCUGAAGUCUUUCCUCUGAAAUUUUCUUCAGUGACAUCCUGUUGGUGGUAAACUCUCAAUUUUCUUUUGUUUGAAAAUUUUAUUUUGCCCCCAUUCUUGAAAGAUAGUUUCUCUGGGUGUGGACCUCUAGAUUAAUAAUUGUAUUGUCUUGGCUGUCAAAAUCAUCACUCACCAUCCCUGGCCUCUGAUGUUGUGGCCCUUCCUUUGUACACAACUCAUUUUCCAUCUCUGGAUUCCUCUACGGUCUUGUAAGAGAAAAUGUGCGUUUCUUUUUAAUUGUCCUGGCUGGAAUUUGUUGGUUUCCUGGAUCUGAGAAUUGAUGUGUUUAGACAAGUCUGGAAAAACUGAAGCCAGUUUAUCUUCGUAUAUUGCUCCCUUCCUAUCCUUUUUCAGGAAAUCCAGCCAGAUGCUAAACAGCCCUAUCUAUCUAUCCUUCAAGACUCUUCACCUCUCGUGCAUGGUCCCCAUCUCUCAGUCUCUCUGGGCUGUAUUCUGGGUAAUUUCCUAAGCUCUGUCUUUCAAUUCACUAAAUCUCUUUUCAGCUGUGCUGAAAAUUUUCACCUGAAGUUUAGUCCAUUUGGGUUUUUAAUUACAUUUUUUUUAAUUUUUAGAAGUUGUAUUUGAUUCUUUUUCAUCCUUUAUUGGUCACUUUCACAGAAUAAAAGAUUAUAGUUUGUUAUAGAAUAAGAAACUAUAGGGGCUGGCCUGGUGGCACAGCAGUUAAGUUUGCGUGCUCCACUUCAGUGGCCCAGGGUUCACUGGUUCGGAUCCCGGGUGCGGACAUGGCACUGCUUGUCAAGCCAUGCUGUGGCAGGCGUCCCACAUAUAAAAUAGAGGAAGAAGGGCAUGGAUGUGAG